ACACCUCGAUCAACAAUUUCAACUCUUCAAAUCUCAGCUUCUGGUGCCGAUACAUCUAAAAAGCCGCCCCCAAAACGAACCUCCACCAAAGACCGUCAUACUAAGGUUGAUGGUCGUGGCAGACGUAUCCGCAUGCCUGCGCUUUGUGCGGCUAGGGUUUUUCAGCUCACACGAGAACUCGGUCAUAAAUCCGAUGGCGAAACAAUAGAGUGGCUACUUCAACAAGCGGAACCAGCAGUAAUCGCCGCUACAGGAACUGGUACAAUCCCAGCAAACUUCACGUCGCUUAAUAUUUCACUACGUAGCUCAGGCUCCAGCAUGUCAGUGCCUUCACAACUACGAUCUUCAUAUUUCAAUCCGA
rnacentral:misc_RNA from 1 species